AUAGCUGAGAACUUCCUUAAUCUGGGGAAGGAAACAAGGAUUUGAGUCCAAAAGGCAGAGACUUGGGAACAUGUUGCUUCAGUAUUUCCAUCAGUUGAAUAAUUCACCUUGUGCAGGACUAUCUUGGGGACUCUCCCCCCUGCCCCCCACGUAGGUCUACAAGUGUUAAGAAUCUGAGCAGUUCAGGGAGGAACCAAGUACAUGGGGACCUGAGGACAGGACACCCUGAGGCAGGAUACUAAGAUAUGUCCCAAACUGCAAAAAACAGAAAACACCAUACUCUUUUAGAAGAAGGAAGAAAAAAAAAAAAAAAGCAUAUAUAGAAAGAAUAAACCUCCUUGGUUCUAGAAGAUAUCUUCUUCGGGAAAACUAGAAUGGAAACUAAUAGGCGUUCUCUCUCUGGACUGAAGUUUUUCAUUGUGAAAAAUUUUCCUCUGAGGUAGGGGUGAGGAAGGAUUUUCUGGCCACUUCAAGAGACGCACACCCAAAGACAGAACUGGGGCCGGGUGGAGGAAGGCCAGAACACUAGCAUCUUUGGUACCAGAUGGUCCUGGGUAUAGUGACAAAAGCGCUGAAGGGAAUGGAAGGAAGAUGUCUUUGACAGAGUUGUGGAUUCCUGAAUUUUACAAUUUUCCUGGGGUGCAUGUUUCUUUUGCAGACCCUCCUGUCCACGAGCAGAUGUCUGUUCCUUAGAGACGGCUUACUGACCGCAAGACGUGGCAUUCAUCACUGUCCUUUGCUCAAGCAUGAAGUUGCUGAAUAUACGCCUGACUUUCUUAAUUUACCUCUUGGAGGAGCAUUCCUUUAAUGCUGGCUCAUUCGCUUCUGCCAAUUGACCCUCAUGGAAGGGAGGGAUCAGAAAGAAUGGAACUAUGGCCAGGGAAUACCAUUCCCUCUUCAAUUUUUGCAAACCCCACUGGCCCACUGAUUUUCACUGGUCAAUUUUCUCUAACUGCAAAGCCAAUGAUAUUUAUAAAAACAUAUCACUUAAAUAUUCUGAGUUACUUACUGCGGGUCAUAUGUUUCUUUUCUGUCCUACUUCAUCCCUGAUCUUUCUUUCUUGUUAUCCCUUUUAUCUAAUAGUCUCUUAAAUGACAAUGUUCCUCAUGGAUGUCCUAGAUCUCUCUGUUUCUUUUCUUCUUUGCUCCCCUCCUUUUCUUCCUUUUUGUUCCCUUCCCUUCUCUUCUUUUUUCAGUCUUUGUACCUCCUCUACAUGGUCUCGUCCUUUCCUAAGAUUUACCCCUUAUGUGAUCUUGAUCUCAUCUUCAGACCUCUUUCCCCAACCAUUGCCCACUGAACAUUUCUAUAUUUAUGUCCCAUAGGUACUGUGAGCUUGUUCAAAAUAGACUUUGUAAUUCUCCUUCCAAACUUAAUUCUCAUCCUUCAUGCCCAUCUGGGUGAAUGGCUUCCCCAUCCAAGUAUUCAUCCCAGCCGGAUACUUUGUAUUAUCCUUGCUCUUCUUGUUUUUAAUCAGUCUGAUUGUGCCACUCUUAUUUGCUCACAGGCUAAAAUCCAAGCUCCUGGAAUAUCACACAAAAAGUUCAAUGGUGUGGGCCCCUGGGUGGCGCAGUCGUUAAGCGUCUGCCUUCGGCUCAGGGCGUGAUCCCAGCGUUCUGGGAUCGAGCCCCACAUCAGGCUCCUCUGCUAGGAGCCUGCUUCUUCCUCUCCCACUCCCCCUGCUUGUGUCCUCUCUCUCCCUGGCUGUCUGUCUCUGUCAAAUAAAUAAAUAAAAUCCUAAAAAAAAAAAAAAAAG
rnacentral:lncRNA from 1 species